rnacentral:piRNA from 1 species
UCACAUAGGACUCCAGCUUUGAUGUGCUGU